UACGGAGGGUGCAAGCGUUAUCCGGAUUCACUGGGUUUAAAGGGAGCGCAGGAGGGCAGGUAAGUCAGUGGUGAAAUCUUCGAGCUUAACUCGGAAACUGCCGUUGAUACUAUCUGUCUUGAAUACCGUGGAGAUGAGCGGAAUAUGCCAUGUAGCGGUGAAAUGCUUAGAUAUGACAUAGAACACCAAUUGCGAAGGCAGCUCGUUACACGAAUAUUGACUCUGAGGCUCGAAAGCGUGGGGAUCAAACAGG
rnacentral:rRNA from 1 species